rnacentral:rRNA from 1 species
UACGUAGGGGGGCAAGCGUUUGUCCGGAAUCAUUGGGCGUAAAGAGCGCGUAGGCGGCCCCGAUAAGUCCGCUGUGAAAAGUCAAAGGGGCUCAACCCUUGAAUGCCGGUGGAUACUGUCGGGCUAGAGUCCGGAAGAGGCGAGUGGAAUUCCUGGUGUAGCGGUGAAAUGCGCAGAUAUCAGGAGGAACACCAGUGGCGAAGGCGGCUCACUGGCCCCGAUACUGACGUGAGGCACGAAAAAGCGUGGGGGGAGCAAAACAGG